rnacentral:pre_miRNA from 8 species
AAACUGCUAAAGAUGUAUAAACUGACUGGGUAAUCUCUGCAGGCAACUGUGAUGUGAUUACAGUCUCACAUUGACCUGAAGAGGUUGAGCAGUCUGUUUACACCCAAAACCUGCGAGAA